AAAAGGAUUUCAGUGGAAAAUAUGUUGAUCCAACCAUGACUUCUACUGGCAAAUGCUACUUUAUCUAAAAUAUACAGAUUUCAGUGCUUAGAAAGUGCAAACAAUUUGUACACUGAGAAAUCUAUCUUGGCGUUCAGUUUAUAACAUAACAAGGAAUGAGAGCUUUGAUAAGCCUUUACACUUGGUCAGAUUUUGCAUGCAUGAUUUGUCAGAUUGUAAUGUCAUGAUUUGUCAAUAACUGAAUGUUUUCGGUAGGCUGAUGUACAAAACCUGAAAAAUAAAUUCAGUUAAAGCAGAAGUGCAGAGUGUAUGUAACAGAAAAUUCAGCUAUAGAAGAAGCGUAGAGUGUAUGUAACAAAAAGUUCAGUUAUACUAAAACCUGAAUGUUUUCAAUAUGUUGUUGUAUAGUGUACGCAUAUUUUCAGACUAACACUGAAAAUAUGCAGUGUAUGCAUAUUUGAAGAGUACUCAAAUGUUCUGAAAAUAAGAUGUGAGAGCAAUGCAUAGAUAGGGGCCAAUGCCGAGAGCCCGAGACCAAUAAAAUUUAGCUAACACUGGACAGAGAUGUCUCCUUGCAACAAUCUCUACAGAAAAAUCUUGUACUCAUCUUAGCUCUUAGCUAACAUUGGACACUGGAGUAGUUUCAAUUUCUAAAAAAAUGGGGUGCAAUACAAGAACUAAGAAACCUCUGCACACCAUUUUUAAGAGAGAGAGAGAGAGAGAGAGAGAGAGAGAAUUUACGUUCUUCUUCUUCUACUAUUCACAAGUAACCAGAAAUUCAGGAAUCAAAUUAGAUUAUCAGAAAAUCAAAGAGUAAAAAACUGGAAGAGGAAGAUGCCAAGGAUGACAGCCUAAAUUGGAGAGGAGAAGGGGAGAAGAGAAGGGAAGGAGGAGGGGCACAACUGCUACCUCUCGACGUGCGUGGCUCCAGAGGGUUGCUCGCCUCCACCUCUCGCGUACGUUGCCAUGGCCCUGUCCAGAUCGAUUGAAGAAACUUCGAUGGCCGCCAUCUGCCCAAUCGAUGAGCGCCCCCAGCUUCUCCCGCCUGCACGAGCCUGCCGGGCC
rnacentral:lncRNA from 1 species